CACCCUAUGGGAGACCAGGAGAAGCACCUGGCUCCUGCCUUUGGAUCAGCCGGCCGCAGCGUGCCGCCCACGGUGGCCGUUGGAGGGUGAACCAACAGCAAAGGAAGACCUUUCUCUAUGUCUCUCUCUCUCUCCCUCACUGUCCACUCUGCCUGUCAAAAAAAAAAAAAAAAAAAAAAGCCGGCGCCGUGGCUCAAUAGGCUAAUCCUCCACCUUGCGGCGCCGGCACACCGGGUUCUAGUCCCGGUUGGGGCGCCGGAUUCUGUCCCGGUUGCCCCUCUUCCAGGCCAGCUCUCUGCUAUGGCCCGGGAGUGCAGUGGAGGAUGGCCCAGGUGCUUGGGCCCUGCACCCCAUGGGAGACCAGGAAAAGCACCUGGAUCCUGGCUCCUGCCAUCGGAUCAGCGCGGUGCGCCGGCUGCAGCGGCGGCCAUUGGAGGGUGAACCAACGGCAAAAGGAAGACCUUUCUCUCUCUGUCUCUCUCUCACUGUC